rnacentral:lncRNA from 1 species
GAUUGAUGUCUUGGAAAGCGACCACCUUGUCGUCCUGGUGAAGGAUGGUUGCUGGGGUCGAGGCACGGGCGAUUUGGCAGAAAAUGCACGACGAUGAGAGAGCUCCCGACAUAGCCUAUCUCUUGGUAACUCAGUAACUGCAUUCACUCAAAUCCAUAUCUCUAUAUCUUCUACAAAGAAAUGCACAUUUUGUAGAGUUUUAACUGAAAGAGUCCAACUGCAGAAGAUAUAUUUCAUUUCCUAUUUUGAUUAACAGAGAUCAAGAAUUCGAAAUCAAAAUCAGACUGCAGAAAUGUAUAAAUCUCCCUCUUUUUCAUUGACAGCAAUAAGGAAUCGGAAAUCGGAAUCAUAAAGAGUGACUAUUAAUCAACAAAUCAACCGGAAAACAGCUAUUAACCAGCUAAAUCAAAAGAAAUUUCACGAAAUCCAGACAUCAGUGAUUGAUUCAAAUCAGCUCAAAAUUCGAAAUCAACCGAAAAUGACAGAAUCAAAUCAGAUUAUCAUCGGCUAGAAAAUGACAGAAUCAAAUCAGAUCGCCAUACAUGAAUUUAAUUCAUCUCGAAAUUCAAGCAUAGUCGAAAUCAGAGAACAAACAUCAGUAUCAAAAGCGAAAGAUGGAAAUGCAAAAUUAGUACCACGUGACGCAGACCCGGUGGCCGGUGGCCGGUGGCGGUGGAUGAAGACGCAACAGCCGCCGUGGACGAUUUGGG